UGUAAUUGUAAAGAGCUAAAGUGCCUUUGGUUAGGAAGUAAAAUAAAUCCCAAAGGCCCAGAUCAGUGGUCAGUGAAUAGCAGAAACCAGGAGCCCGGAGCAGGAGACCUGGAAGGGCAGCUGGGAAGUACGGAGAGUAGAAAACAAGUCACAGAUGCCAUUGUCUGGAGACACAGGUCACUCUUCAUUUGUCUACUGAGGUUUUCUGGAUUUACUUCUCUAAUAAUCCAUCUGCACUUGAAUCCUUGUCUCUGGAUCUGCUUCGAAGGACCCCCAAGACAUACGUUAACACACAGAGAAGCGAUCUGACAUUUUUCUCUAGGCCAUGCACUUAAAGCUGGCACCAAGAAAGGAAGAAAGCCACCGAUCAUUACUUCCGUUCCCAGCAGCACAGAACUGACUGCCAACCGUGGACCAUCAGUGUCUGCUUCUGGGACUCUCUUA